rnacentral:rRNA from 1 species
GACGAACGCUGGCGGCGUGGAUUAGGCAUGCAAGUCGAACGGUAUCAUCCUUUCGGGGGUGAGAGAGUGGCGAACUGGUGAGUAACACGUAGGUUAUCUACCCUCAAGACGGGGACAACCCAGGGAAACUUGGGCUAAUACCGGAUGUGAGCAACUUUUAGUUGUUUGAAAGGUGGCGUAAGCUGUCGCUUGGGGAUGAGCCUGCGUCCUAUUAGUUAGUUGGUGAGGUAACGGCUCACCUAGGCAAUGAUAGGUAGGCGGCCUUAACGGGUGGUCGCCCACACUGGGAUUGAGAUACGGCCCAGACUCCUACGGGAGGCAGCAGUCGAGAAUAGUCUACAAUGGUCGGAAGACUGAUAGCGCGACGCCGCGUGAACGAUGAAUCCCUUCGGGGUGUAAAGUUCUUUUAUAUGUGAGCAGUGCUUCUUAUAUUAACAGUAUGGGGAGAGAGAUAUUAGCAUAUGAAUAAGCAACGGCUAACUCCGUGCCAGCAGCCGCGGU